UCCGUAGGUGAACCUGCGGAAGGAUCAUUAACGAAUAUCUAUGGCGUUGGUUGUAGCUGGCUCCUAGGAGCAUUGUGCACGCCCGUCAUUCAUAUCUUUCCACCUGUGAACCAUGUGUAGGCCUGGAUACCCCUCGCUUUGGCAACAAAGCGGAUACAAGGAUUGCUGCGUCGACAAGGCCGGCUCUCUUUGAAUUUCCAGGUUCUAUGUCUUUUUACACACCCCAUUUGAAUGAUUUAGAAUGUAGUCAAUGGGCUUUCAUGCCUAUAAAAAACUAUACAACUUUCAGCAACGGAUCUCUUGGCUCUCGCAUCGAUGAAGAACGCAGCGAAAUGCGAUAAGUAAUGUGAAUUGCAGAAUUCAGUGAAUCAUCGAAUCUUUGAACGCACCUUGCGCUCCUUGGUAUUCCGAGGAGCAUGCCUGUUUGAGUGUCAUUAAAUUCUCAACCUCAUCAGUUUUGUAACGAGACAGGUGAAGGCUUGGAUGUGGGGGGUUUUGCAGGCUGCCUCAGUGCUGGUCUGCUCCUCUGAAAUGCAUUAGCGAGCUCAUAUUGAGCUUCCGUCUAUUGGUGUGAUAAUUAUCUACGCCGUGGAUUGGACUCAUGCUUGCUUCUAACCGUCCGCAAGGACAAUUUACUUGACCAAUUUGACCUCAAAUCAGGUAGGACUACCCGCUGAACUUAAGCAUAUCAAUAAGCGGAGGA
rnacentral:rRNA from 1 species